GGGGAGGGACUCACACUCUGUACACAGGAAUAGGUUCAUCACUGGUCACUGAGCUGGCAAGCUAAUGUUAGGUAGUUAGUCAUAGAAAUGUACGUUCAGCCUGUGAAUUAUUUCAGUCCGAUUUGACUUAUAUUAAGAAGUCAGCAUUGCUUAACAGUUUCUUUCGUUUUUGACCUCGACAUUGUUGCUGGAUAGAUACUUUCAUAUCUAACAUGCUGGUGAUGCUAGCCAGCUAACCUCAUAUCUGGAUGCCUCACUCUAGUUCCCGAUAGAGCAGCAUACUGGCCCUCCAUUCCCAAACUUGAAGCCCCCUGUCGCCAACUGGAAAGAACAGGAAAAAGUAGUGGCUUAAGAUCUGCCAACCUGCUCGGUGGGUGACAGGUAACCGUCUUUCCACCAAGCUGUUCCAGGCCUGGAGUGGAACUUCCAUAGGCUUGUAGACCUGAAGUGGUGUGAUGUUUGUCCAGAUCUGACACGCCUAUUAGCUCAACCACAGUCUUCACAGCUGCAGUCGUCUGCAUCUAAUACACCGGCCACGACAGGUGACACAGAUCUGCUGUAGUAUUUACUGCUGUCCACUGCUGUAGUAUUUAAUUUACCGGCUGCACCAGUUUCUACUCCACUGGCCGUGAAGGGAGAAACUUUUGAGGAUUCCCAGAUGGAUACAGAUCUGCCAUGCACUCCACCACUGCCUGACAACCUCACCCAGAAGUGCAUACACUGGGCCUUUCAAGACUGACAAAGCAGAGAUGGGUGGCUGACAAGGAAAAAUAAAACAACACGCGCACACACACACUCACACACACACUUUAUCCACAAUGUAAAUAAGUUGUAAUUGCUUGCUUAUUUAAUGAUUGCUCCAUUUUAUUUUAGGAUUGGAGAUAUCUACUCCUAUAUAUCCAUUAUCAAUGUCUGCAUAAUUACUCUAAAUAUCUAUCAAAUCAAAGUGGGAUUGAUAAUAUUAUAAAAGACUGUGUACAGUUUUAGGAAAUUCUGUGUACAUUUUUCUGAGUUGAAAAACACGCCUCCCUCUCACACACACACACUACACCCAAUGUAAAUAAAUUGCAAUAACUUGUUUAAUGUAUGUAUGCUCCACUUUAUUUUAGGAAAAUAUCUGUAAUAAAGUACA